AUACGUAGGGUGCAAGCGUUAAUCGGAAUUACUGGGCGUAAAGCGUGCGCAGGCGGUUUUGUAAGACAGAGGUGAAAUCCCCGGGCUCAACCUGGGAACUGCCUUUGGGACUGCAAGGCUAGAGUACGGCAGAGGGGGGUGGAAUUCCGCGUGUAGCAGGGAAAUGCGUAGAUAUGCGGAGGAACACCGAUGGCGAAGGCAAUCCCCUGGGCCUGUACUGACGCUCAUGCACGAAAGCGUGAGGAGCAAACAGGAUUAGAUACCCUGGUAGUCCACGCCCUAAACGAUGUCAACUGGUUGUUGGGUCUUCAUUGACUCAGUAACGAAGCUAACGCGUGAAGUUGACCGCCUGGGGAGUACGGCCGCAAGGUUGAAACUCAAAUGAAUUGACGGGG
rnacentral:rRNA from 1 species